UGUGGCCGGACCGGCUGGCUCAGUUGUGGCCGGACCGGCUGGUUCGGUUGUGGCAGGACCGGCUGGCUUGGUUGUGCCUUGACCGGCUGGCUCGGUUGUGGCCAGAUCAGGUGUCUCAGUUGUGCCCGGACCGGCUGGCUCGGUUGUGCCUGGACCGGCUGGCUCGGUUGUGGCCAGAUCAGGCGCCUCGGUUGUGGCCGGACCGGCUGGCUCUGUUGUGGCCGGACCGGCUGGUUCGGUUGUGGCCGGACCGACUGGCUCGGUUGUGCCUGGACCGGGUGGCUCGGUUGUGGCCAGAUCAGGUGUCUCAGUUGUGCCCGGACCGGCUGGCUCGGUUGUGCCUGAACCGGCUGACUCGGUUGUGGCCAGAUCAGGUGUCUCAGUUGUGCCUGGACCGGCUGGCUCGGUUGUGGCCAGAUCAGGUGUCUCAGUUGUGCCCGGACCGGCUGGCUCGGUUGUGGCCAGAUCAGGCGCCUCGGUUGUGGCCGGACCGGCUGGCUCAGUUGUGGCCGGACCGGCUGGCUUGGUUGUG